AUGACACACAGGCGUGAGCCACCGUGCCUGGACUCGUUAGCCCCUUUUUUGAUAAAACUCUAUGUUCAUAGCAAAAAGAAAACAUCAAAGAAUACACUCGGGCCAGCAACCGCGCUUGGUUUCAGUGCUUGCGCACUCCCGUCAGCGACCAGACGUUUGACUAUAGAGUCUGUGCUGGGCGGCCGGGGCAGCGGGCUGCAGCUGCGGCUGCUGCUCUGGGCACUGACGCCCAGUAUCCUCGUCCCACAGGCCUGACCCGCGGCAGCGUUCAGCACCUUGGUAACCUCUGCCAAAGUGGCUGUGAAUGGCAUCCAUCUGUAUUACCAGCAGGCUGGAGAGGGAGAUCACGCAGUCCUGCUACUUCCUGGGAUGUUGGGAAGUGGAGAGACUGAUUCCGGACCUCAGCUCACGAACCUCAAUAAGAAGCUCUUUAAAGUGGUCGCCUGGGAUCCUGGAGGCUAUGGGCAUUCCAAGCCUUCACAUCGCGAUUUCCCAGUAGACUUUUUUGAAAGAGAUGCAAAAGAUGCUGUUGAUUUGAUGAAGGCGCUGAAGUUUAAGAAGGUUUCUCUGCCGGGGUGGAGUGAUGGGGGCAUAACCGCACUCACUGCUGCUGCAAAAUACCCAUCUUACAUCCACAAGAUGGUGAUUUGGGGCCCCAAUGCCUACGUCACUGAUGAAGACAGCAUGUCUUACGAGGGCAUCGAGAUUUUUCUAAAUGGCGUGAGAGAACAAAAAAGCCUCUAGAAGCCCCCUAUGGGCAUGACUACUUUGCCGGAACCUGUGAAAAGUGGGUGGAUGGCAUAAGCCUGUUUAAACAUCUUCCAGAUGGUAACAUCUGCCAGCACCUGCUGCCCCAGGUCCAGGGCCCCACCUUGAUUGUGCAUGGCGAGAAGUAUCUUCUGGUCCUAAGGUUUCAUGCCGACUUCAUUCAUUGGCACGUGAAAGGCUCACGGCUGCAUUUGAUGCCAGAAAGCAAACACAACCUGCAUUUGCGUUUUGCAGAUGAAUUUAACAAGUUAGCAGAAGACUUCCUACAAUGAGAAUGCACACUUGAGUCUUGGUGGUUCCUUAGUGUGGGACGUGAUCGUGUUGUUCCCUGUUACCAUGAUGCCUUUGAAACUCUCUGCCUGGGCUUUCUACCCCUCCGUUCAGUCUUAUCCUGACCAAAUGAGUAUAAUGACAUUGAAAACAGCCUUUGGCUUCAGGCUGGGCAUAGUAGCUCAUGGCUACAGUCUCAGCACUUUGGGAGGCUGGGGUGGGAGGAGAAUUGCUUGAGUCUGGGACUUCAAGACCAGCUUGUGCAACACAGACUCUGGUUCUACAAAAAAAAAAAAAAUUUUUUUUUAAUUAGCCAGGCAAAGUGGGACACACCUGUGGUCCCAGUUGCUCAGGAAGCUGAGGUGGAAGGAUCUCUUGAGCCCACUUCAAAGCUACAAUGAGCUGUGAUUGCAUCACUGCACUACAGCCUGGGCAAUGGAGUAAGACCUUGUCUUUAAAAAAAAAAAAAAAGGAAUAAAGCCUCUAACUUCAAUAGCUAUGAAAAUUAAAUCUGAUAUUCUAACAUGAAGUUGCAACAAGUUAUACUAUUGUCUUAAAAGGUAAAUUCCUGCCAUAAUUUACUUUGAAAUUUUAGGUGGCGCAUUUGUAGUGUGAAUGGAAAUUUUAAGAAAUCUUGAAUGUAUACUGUACCUUCAAUCUGAGACGUUCAAGCUUCAAAAAAAAAUUCCACUCAAGCUAAAUUAUUUUCUAAUCAACCAUAAUUUUAAAGAUAUCUAUGAACGUUUUUGUGUAACAUUGUAUAAACAAUAUAUAAACAUUGUAUAUCAUUCUAGAGACUUUAGUGUUUCUAUGUAGAUAUAUGAAUAUAUAUAAUUUUAAUAGUAUUAAUCUAUUUCCUGUCCUUUUCACUUAGCUCUAGAACAUGAGUAUCUUUCAUGGUAAUAAAUAAUACCCACAUCAUUUUUCUAAAGAGUUAUAUGAUAGCCUAUGCUACCAUCAUAUCAUUAGAGAAUAUCCUAUUGAUUGAUAUUUAAAUUGCUUCCUUUUUUUUGCUAUUUCAUUGAGAUGGACAUGGUGUUUUAAAAAAUUGUCUUUUUACUCAUAUCUGUUUUGUUAUCUUGUAUGCCUACGAGUAGAGAUUGCAUUCCUAGAAGCUGCUUAGUUCAAGAAUAUUAAUGUUUUUAGAGCCUCUGAGGGCUCUCAAAUUGGUCUGCAGAGGGGUUAUAACUAUACACAUUCCCACUAGUUGGUGGAAGAGAGGUCACUUCCUCAUACUCUCAUAAAAACUGAACACUAUAUUUUUCACCAUUGCCCAUCAAGUGAAAAGUGUUAUAGUACUGAUUUUUGUUACUUGCAAAAGAAAACACAGGAACUCGAUAUAAGGGGUUCACAUCCAAUGAGUAGUUCUAGUGUGAGACAGAGAAAACAGUGGCAAGAUCAUUGUUCAGUAAAUAAUAUGGUUACGUUUUCAGGAUGUGGUGACACCUGAGACCACUUUAUAAGAGUCUCUCAAAAUCAAGGAGGAAGCAUGGAAAAGAUCUUGGGGAUAUUUAUCAACACUGGGCAUACACAGAUCUUUAAACUUUCUAUGGAUAAGACGCCUCCAAAGUAAAGGAAAUUGGAAUGACCCAGGUCACUCAGCAGCUAGAUUCUGGAGGAUGAGGGAACAAUGCCUUCACAAUGCUAAAGGGAAAUGGUUCUGAUUCUAGAACUGACCGAGUGUGAUGGUAAAUACAUGGGGUGAGAACUCGUACCUUUUCCUAGAAAUUUUCCUGAGGUUGUACUCCAGCAACAAAAGAAUAAAUUGAAGAGGCCAUCAUGGGAUUCAAGAAAUAGUGGAUCAGGAGAACUAAGGACUGCAUGACAGGGACUCUGGGAGGGAUGGAGGUUUCAUAGAAUAGAUAGUAUGGCUGAGAACUCGGAAAAAUGCAUAUGUAAAAAUGUGGAAAAGAAAAAAAAGGCAAAGUGCAUCAGCUAAUGCCUAUCUAUAAUCUCAGCACUUUGAUAGACCAGGGCAGGAGGAUUGCUUGAGACCAGGAGUUUGAGACCAACCUGGGCAGCACAGAGAGACCUUCAUCUUUACAAUAAAAAAAAAAAAAGAAAGAAAAGAAAAAUUAGCCAGGUAUGGUUGCACACACUUGUGUGCCAGCUACUUAGGAGGCUGAGGCAGGAAGAUCACUUGAGCCCAGGGGGUCGAGGUUGCCAUGAGCCAUGAUCAUGCCACUGUACUCCAUCCAGCCUGGGUGACAGAGCGAGACUGUCUCAAAAAAAAAAAAGUUUAAAAGGCCACUAGAAAUUUCACAGUGAACAAGAAAACCAGACAUAAAGAGACAUAGUUUAAUUAUACUAAAAAGUAGAUUGGUAGAAAGAGCACUUGUCUCAGUGGUGAAUAACAUUUACCAGGUCAUAAUUACGUAAUAUCUUACAUGGUGGCUUUUUAUAUUUUAAGCAUUUUAUAUGUUUUAUAGAUUAUUUUUCAGUUUUUAAAGUCCACACAUUGUGGAAAACUGUCAUGUUGUUCACCAAAAUAUUCUCUCCUUCUUCUCUAGUAGAAGAUUGUUAGGCACAUAUGUGCCCAAAGACACUGCAUUCCCAAGCCUCCCAAACUCUGAUAUGGCUGUGUCACUAAUUUCUUUUCAGGAGAACAUAAUCAAAGUAAUGUGUGUUCAUAGGAGCUCCUAUAUAUUUUUCCCUCCCGUUGAGCUUGAAUACUAACAUGCCUGCAACUAAGUUGCAACCAUGCAAGCAAAGUUAGUUCCCCUAAGGAGCUGUGGUGAAACUGGAAAGAACCUGAAUGCAUGCAAUAAAAGAAAAUUCUUAGAUAGUGACAAGUAACAUGAGGAAAAAUAAAGUAGGGUAAGCAGAUAGAAACUGAGGGAGCUGCAUUUUAAAAUAGGGUUCUGAGGAAAGUCUUCUCGGAGAGGUAGUAGUUGAGCAGAGGUACAAAACAAGUGAAGGAAUAAGGUUGUCUGAGAAGGAGCAUUGCAGGCAGAGGAAAUAGCACCUACAAAGGCCUGGAGGCAAGAGCAUGUUUGGGGUGUGCAAGGCCCAGCAAAGAGAUCCAAAUGGCUAAGGCACGAGUAGGAGAAGGAGAUUACAGGAAAUGAGGCUGAGAAGUAGGGGAAGACCAGGCCAUAUCAGCCCUUUUUGGCUAAGGCGAAAAUUUUGGAUUUUACCACGAGCUAGAUGGGAAAGCACUGGAAGAUUUUGAGUAAAAGAGUGCAGUGAUCUAAAAACAUUGUUCUGACUGCUUGGUGGGGAAGUGUGGAAGCAGGAAGGAAGGCCAGGUAAGAAGCUAUUUCAGUUGUCUGUGCAGAAGACAAUGGUGGUUUGGACCUGAGGUUGUUGGUAGAGGUGGGAAAGAGAUUAGAUGCAGGAUGUGAUAUACAAAGGCAUGUUAAUUAGCAAUGUAUACUUGUAACCUUGUAACCUUCAGAAGAACUGCGAACGGAAAUGAUUGCCUGUGUGUGUAAGGUACAUUGUUUUUUUGUCAUAAGCCCUUGUGUACUGCUUUUGGUAAAAAGCUAUUUACAUGCAUGACCUUGAUUUUUAAAAACAACUUUUUAAAAUGUGAAGAAACAAAACAAUUGUUUUUAAAUUUUUUAUGACAGUAUAUAUAGGGGUACCUCAUUACCUGAGUUUGUUUUGUGCUGGUGUAACUGAAUAACUAAAAGUAGAUAAUUUAUGAAGAACUGAGAUUGAUUUCUUGCAAUUCUGAAGGCAGAGAAGUACAAAGUCAAGGGACCCACAUCUGCAAGGGCCUUCUUACUGCAUCAUCCCACUGUAGAAUAGAAUACAGAAGGACUGGAGAGCUCACAAGGCACAAGGGAGAAAGAAAGGAAGGGGGCUAAACUCAUUCUUUUAUCAGGAACCCACUUCUGCAAUAACUUACUCCUGCCUUAAGGGCAUUCACCCAUUCAGGAGGACAGAAGCCUGAGGAAUCACUUCUUAAAGGUCCCACCAUUCAACACUCUUGUAUUGCGGAUUAGGUUUACAACAAAUGAACUUUGGGGGACCCAUUAAAACCAUAGUACUCGGCCAGGCGCGGUGGCUCACACCUGUAAUCCCAGCACUUUGGGAGGCCGAGGUGGGUGGAUCACGAGGUCAAGAGAUCGAGACCAUCCUGGUCAACAUGGUGAAACCCCGUCUCUACUAAAAAUACAAAAAAUUAGCUGGGCAUGGUGGCGUGUGCCUGUAAUCCCAGCUACUCAGGAGGCUGAGGCAGGAGAAUUGCCUGAACCCAGGAGGCGGAGGUUGCGGUGAGCCGAGAUCUCGCCAUUGCACUCCAGCCUGGGUAACAAGAGCGAAACUUCAUCUAAAAAAAAAAAAAAAAAAAAAAAAAGUACUCAUUUGUUUUAAAUUUUUUUAUUUAAAAAAAAAUUAUUUACAGAAAUUAAAAACCAAUUCUAAAGUGUAUAUGGAAUUACAAAGGACCCCCAAUAUCGAAAGCAACCUUGAGAAAGAAGAACAAAACUGGAGACUUCACAUUUCCUAAUUUCAAGAUAUAUUACAAAGCUAUAGUAAUUAGGAAAACUGGAUGUCUACAUGCAAAAGAAUUAAAUUGGAUCUUUACCUUAUACCAUACAAAAAAAGGUUUUUUUAAUGGAUUAAAGUCUUAACUGUAAGACCUGAAGCCAUAAAAUGCCUAGAAGAAAACGGGAAAGUUUCAUGACAUUGGUCUUCACGGUGAUUUAUUGGAUUAUGACACCAAAAACACAAGCAACAAAAUCAAAAAUAAGUGGGACUAUAUCAAAUUAAAAAGCUUCUGUAAGGCAAAGAAAACAAUUAACUGAGUGAAGACACAAACCAUGGACUGGGAGAAAAUAUUCGCAAACCAUUUAUCUGAUAAGGUGUUAUUCCGUAAUAUAUAAAGAAUUCCUACAACUCAAGAGCAAAAAAAAUGACCUGAUAUUUAAGUGGGCAAAGGACUUGAAAAGACAUUUCUACAAAGAAGAUAUAGAAAUCGCCAAUGGGUAUAUGAAAAGAUGCUCAACAUCUCUAAUCAUUAGGGAAAUACACAUCAAAAUGACAAUUAGAUAUCUUGCACCUCUUAGGAUGGCCAUCACUUAAAAAAAGAAAAAAACGAAAUGUUGGCAAUGAUUUCGAGAAAUUGGAACCCUUGUACACUGUUGCUGGGAAUAUGAAAUGGUACAGUUGUUAUAGAUAAUACUGUGAAGGUUCCUAUAAAACAUUAAAAAUAGAAGUAUAUGACCUAGCAAUUCUAGAAAAAUUUCUGGUUAUAUAUCCAAAAGAAGUGAAAUCAAGAUCUCAAAGAGGUAUCUGCACUCCCACAUUCAUUUCACCAUUAUUCAUGAUAGCCAAGACGUGGAAACAGCCUAAAUGUCCAUUGAUGGAUGAAUGUCUAAAGAAAAUGUGGUAUAUACAUAGAAUAGAAUAUUAUUUCUUCAUGAAAAAGAAGGAAUGGCUGGGCAUGGUGGCUCACGCCUGUAAUCCUAGCACUUUGGGAGGCUAAGGUGGGCGGAUCACCUGAGGUCAGGAGUUUGAGACCAACCCGGCCAACAUAUUGAAACCCUGUCUCUACUAAAAAUAGAAAAAUUAGCUGGGUGUGGUAGUGCAAGCGUGUAAUCCCAGCUACUUGGGAGGGUGGGGCAGGAGAAUCGCUUGAACACAGGAGGUAGAGGUUGCAGUGAGCCAAGGUCAUGCCACUGCACUCCAACCUGGGCGACAGAGCAAGACUCUGUCUCAAAAAAAAAGAAAAAGGAAAUCCUCCAUAUGUGACAACAUGGAUGGACCUUGAGACCAUCAUGGUAAGUGAAAUAAGCUAUUCCUGUAAGGACAGAUACUACAUGAUUUCAUUUUUAUGAGAUAUCUAAAAUAACCAAAUUCACAGAAGCAAAAAAUAGAAUGGUAGUUGCCAGGAGCUGAAAGGAGGGAGAAAUAGUUGUUCAAUGGAUAUAAAGUUUUGGUAAUGCAGACGAAUAAGUUCUAGAGGUCUUCUGUAGGAUGUUGUGCAUGUGCAUAUAGUUAACAGUAUUGUACUGUACACCUAAUUUAAGAAAGUAAAUCUCAUGUUGUUUUAGUAAAUUUGUAGAGUUUUUAGUAAAUUUGUAAAGUCACCACAAUCCAGUUUUAGACACUCUCAUCACCCAAAAUGUUCCCUCAAUCCCAUUAGCAGUCAUUUCCCCCUCCUGUUCUCUCAGGCUACACAGAUGUAUUUUCUUUUCAGGAAAUUACAUUUAAAUGGAAUCUUACAGUGUUUAGUCUUUCUCAUAUAGCUUCUUUCACUUAGCAAAAUGUAUUUGAAGUUCAUCCAUGUUGUAGCACAUAUCAACAUUUAAUUUCUUUGUAUUGCUCAAUUACAUGGAUAAAUACUACAUUUUAUUUGUUCUCUGCUCAUUGGUCAUUUGUCUUAUUUCCACUUUGAUGCUGUUAGAGUAAUACUGCUAUGAACUUUAGCAUUCAAAUCUUUGUAUGGAUGUGUGUUUUUAUUUCUCCUGGGUAGAUUCCUAGAAGUGGAAUUGUUAGGUCAUAUAAUAAGUUUAACUUUUAAAGAAACUGCCAGAUUAUUUUUCAAAGUGGCUGUACCAUACUACAUUCUUACCAGAAAUACAUGAGGGUUACAGUUUCUCCGUGUCCUCACCAACACUUGUUCUUUUUCUAGUUUUUAAAAUUAUAACCAUUGUGAUAGGAGUGUUAUGGUAUCUCACUAUGUCUUAAUAUAUGCUCCCUUAGUAUAUAAUGAUGUGAAGUAUCUAUAUAGUCCUUAUUAGCCAUUCCUAUGUCUUAUUUAGUGAAAUAUCUAUUCAUAAUUUUUGUCCAUAUUUUAAUUUGGUUGUUUUCCCUGUAAUUAUUGAGUUGUAGGAGUUCUUUAUCUAUAGGUUAUACAUGCCAAACCCGAAAAUCUGAAAUUUGAAAUGCUUAAAAUUCCGAAACUUUUAAGCACUAACAUGACACUCAAAGGAAAUGUUUGUUAGAGCAUUUCAGAUUUCAGAUUUUCAGAUUUUCAGAUUUAGGAUGAUCAGCUUGUAAGUAGAAUACGUAUGUUACAAAAUCCGAGUAAAUCUGAAAUCCUUUGGGUCACAGGCAUUUUGGAGAAGGAAUACUCAACCUGUAUAUUAUGGACUCAAGUCCUUCAUCAAAUAUAUGAUUUGCAAAUAUGUUCUCCCACUGUGCAGUUUGUCUUUUUAUUUUUUUAAUGGUGUCAUGUAAAGUACAAAAGUUUAAUUUUAGUAAAGUUCAGUUUAUCAAUUUUUUUCUUCUAUAGAUUAUGCUUUUUAGUGUUAUACCUAAGAACUUUGCCUAACCCAGGAUAGCAAAGAAUUUCUCCUAUAUUUUCUUAGGAGUUUCAUAGUUUUAGAUCUCACAUUUAGAUCUAAGAUCCAUUUUGAGUUGAUUUUUGUGGUUAAGGUGAGAUGUAAGGGUCAGGUUUACUUUUUUUUUUUUUUUUUGCUCAUGGAUGUUCAUUUGCAUUGACUCUAUAGAUCAAUUUGGAGAGAAUUUCCAUCUUAACAAUUUUGAAUGUCGAAAUUCAUGAACACAAAAUGUCUUUUCAUUUAUUUAGAGCUUUUAAGAGUUCUAUCUACAAUGUUUUCAAUAUGCAAACCUGGUUCUUCUUUUAUUACAUGUAAUAUUUUUCAUCUUCUGGAGAAGAACUGUUUUAUUUUUUCUUUCUUUUUCUUGAAGAUAGGAACUCACUCUGUUGCCCAAUCUGGAGUGCAGUGGUAUGAUCAUAGGCGACUUUGAACUCCAUGACUGAAGGAAUCUUUCUGCCUCAGCCUCUCAAGUAGCUGGGACUACAAGUGAUACCACCACACCCAACUAAUUUUUUUGUGUAAAGAUAGGAUCUCACUAUGUUGCUCAAGCUGGUCUUAAACUCCUGACCUCAAGCAAUCCUCCUGCCUCAGCCUCCCAAAGUAUUGGGAUAACAGGUGUGAGCCACCUUGCCCUGGCAGAAUUAUUUAUUUAUUUGUAUUUUUAUUUUUAUUUUUUUUCUGACAGAGUCUCACUUUGUUGCCCAGGUUGGAAUACAGAGGCAUGACAACUACUCACUAUAGCCUCAACCUCCUAGGCUCAAGUAAUCUACCUACUUCAGCCUUCCAAGUAGCUGGGACUACAGGGAUGCACCACCAUGCCAGCUAAUGUUUUAAGUUUUUAUUUGUAGAGACAGGGUCUCACUGUGUUCCCCUGGCUGGUCUUGAACUCAUAGGCUUAAGAGAUCCUCCUGCCUUGACCUAUCAAAGUGUUGGGAUUAUAGAUGUAAGCCACUGCGCCCAGCCAGAAUUUUUUUCUUAAUUACACUUUCAAAUUGUUCAUUGCUAGUAUGUAGAAAUACAGUGGAUUUUUAUAUACUGGGUUUUGGAGCCUGUUGACUUAGCUAACAUUGAUGGUUUAAUAGUUCUGUGGAUAAGAAGUUUUUCUUCUUCCUUUCCAUUCUGGACGCCUUCAGUCCAUUUAUUUACUUAAUGCCUUAUUGCACUGGGUAAAACAUCCAGUUUUAUUGUACAGAAGUGGUGAGUGCAGGCAUACUUGCCUUGUUCCUGAUCAUGGAGGGAAGACAUUCAGUCUUUGACCAUUAAGUAUGAUUUUAGCUGUAAAUUUUUCAUAGAUGCUUUUUAUCUAAGGAACUUCCCUUCUAUUUAUAGCUUGAGAGUUUUUAUCAUGAAUAGACAUUAGAGUUUGUCACAUGCUUUUGCUUCAUCUGUUGAGAUGGUCACGUGAUUUUUAUCCUUUGUUUUAUUAAUAUGGCAUAUUAUAUUAAUUGACCUUUGGAUAUUAAACUAACCUGACAUUCUGACUUACAUAAAUUUUGUAUGGUGCUGGAUUUGGUUGGCUAAUUUUUUUUUUUUUAUUAUUGAGAUGGAGUCUCACUCUGUCACCCAGGCUGGAGAGCAGUGGCACGAUCUCGGCUCACUGCAGCCUCUGCCUCCCGAGUUCAAGCAAUUCUUCUGCCUUGGCCUCUGGAGCAGCUGGAAUUACAGAUGUGUGCCUAUGCCCAGCUAAUUUUUUGUAUUUUUAGUAGAGAUGGGAUUUCACCAUGAUAGCCGGGAUGGUCUUGAACUACUGACCUCAGGUGAUCUGCCUCCUUCCACCUCUCAAAGAGCUGGGAUUUCAGGCAUAAGCCACUGAGGUUAGCUAAUAAUUUAUUAUGGAUUUUUGUUUCUGUGUUCAUGAGAGUGAACGGUCUAUACUUUUCUUGUGAUGUCUUUGUCUGGCUUUGAUAUCAGGGCAAUACUAGCCUCGUAGAAUGAGUAGGAAAUAUUCUAUCCUCCCCUAUUUUCUAAGUUUGUGACCAGUUGCUAUUUUAUCUUCUUUGAAUAUUUGGUAGAAUUCACCAGUGAAGCCAGCUAGGCCUUGGCUUUUCUUUGUGGGAAUACUUUUAGUUGCUAAUUCAUUUGUUUUUAAGUUAUUAUAGGUCUAUUCAGAUUUCCUAUUUCUUCUUGAUUAAAUUUUAAUGAUUUCUAGGAAUUUAUUUAUUUCAUUCACAUCAGUAGUUGUGCUCUGAAAGUACUUGAAUAAUAAAAGAAAGUGUGGCUGAUAUUCUCUCCAAAGAAGAUAUUUUUGGCAACAGAUUUUAUUUCUUUAAUGAUUGGUGAAUUAUCCAUGUUUUUCAUUUCUUUUGGUUAAUCUAAGCUAAUGAUUUAUCAUUUUGUUAAUCUUUUCAAAAAACCAACUUUUUGUUUCAUGGAUGUUUGGUACAGUUUUUUAUUUUGUUUCAAUUUUAUUUAUUUAUUUAUUUAUUUUGAGACGGAGUUUCGCUCUUGUUGCCCAGGCUGGAGUGCAAUGGCGCCAUCUCGGCUCACCGCAACCUCUGCCUCCUGGGUUCAGGCAAUUCUCCUGCCUCAGCCUCCUGAGUAGCUGGGAUUACAGGCACGUGCCACCAUGCCCAGCUAAUUUUUUGUGUUUUUAGUAGAGACCAGGUUUCACCAUGUUGACCAGGAUGGUCUCAAUCUCUUGACCUCGUGAUCCACCCACCUCGGCCUCCCAAAGUGCUGGGAUUACAGGCGUGAGCCACCACGCCCGGCAGGGUUUCAAUUUUAUUUCUACUCUGAUUUCUGUUAUUUCUUUCUUUCUGCUAACUUGGGGUUUGGUUUCUUCUUGCGUUUCUAGUCCUUGAAAUGCAUCAUUAGGUUAUUUCUUUGAAAUCUUUCUCCUUGUUGAUGUAGGCAUUUACGGCUAUAAACUUCUCUAAUAUUACUUUUACUGUAUUCGGUAGAUCUUAGUUUGUUGUGUUUUUUGUUUGUUUGGUUGGUUGGUUUUUUGUUUUUUGUUUUUCGUUUUUGAGACAGAGUUUUGCUCCUGUUGCCCAGGCUGGAGUGCAAUGGCAUGAUCUUACUCACUGCAACCUCCACCUCCUGGGUUCAAGCAAUUCUCCCUUCUCAGUCUCCUAAGUAGCUGGGAUUACAGGCAUGUGCCACCAUGCCCAGCUAAUUUUGUAUUUUUAGUAGAGAUGGCAUUUCUCCAUGUUGGUCAGGCUGGUCUUGAACUCCUGACCUCAAGUGAUCCACUGGCCUCAGCCACCCAAAGCGCUAGGAUUGCAGGCAUGAACCACCACACCCAGCUGAUUUGUUGUGUAUUUAAUUUCAUUUGUUUCAACAAUGUUUUUAAUUUUCUUUUUAAUUUUUUUAAUUGACAUUCAGGAGCAUGUUGUUUAAUUUUCAUAUAUUUGUAUGGUUUUGAAAGUUCCUCUUGGUGUUGAUUCCCAGUUUUAUUCCAUUGUGGUCCAAGAGGAUACUUAAUGUGAUUGCUAGUUUCUAAAAAUUUUUGAAACUUGUUUUGUGGCAUAACAUGUUGUUUAUCUUGGAGAAUGUUCCAUGAGCUGAUGAGAAGAAUGUGUAUUCUAUAGCUUUUGGAUAAAGUAUUCUGUAAACGUCUGUUAAUUCCAUUUGGUCUAAGGUGCAAUUCAAAUUCAGUGUUUUCUUGUUGUUGAUUUCCUGUCUGGAUGAUCUGUCCAUUGCUGAGUGUGGGGUGUCGAUGUCCCCAAAAGUUAUUGUAUUGGAGUCUGUGAUCUCCCUUCAGAUCUAAUAAUAUCUGCUUUUAUGUAUCUGGGUUUUCCAAUGUUGGGUGCAUAUAUAUUCACAGCUGCACAUGUAUAUUCACAUCUUGCUGAAUUGAUCCUUUUAUUAUCAUAUAAUGACUCCUUUGUCUCUUUUUAUAGUUUUUCACUUAAAGUCUGUUUCAUAUGAUAUAAAUGUAGCUUUGUCUUUUCACUUUUAUUUUCCUUUUGCAUGUAAUAUCGUUUUUCUUCCUCCACUUUCAGUCUGUAUGUGUCUUUACAAGUGAAGUGAAUCUCUUUAGGAAGCAUAUAGUAUAGUUGGGUCAUGUUUUAAAAAUUCAUCUUGCCAGUCUGUAUCUUUUAAGUGAGGAAUAUAGUCUGUUUACAUUCAAGGUUAUUAUUGAUAAAUUAGGACUUACUGCUGUCAUUUUGUUCAUUGUUUUCUGGUUUAGAUACCGUUUUUUUCUUUCUUCCUCUCUUAUCAUUGUGGUUGGGUGGUUUUAUGUAAUACUAAGAUUUGAUCCUUUUUCUGCUUUGUGUAUUUGCUCUAACAGUGAAUUUUAUACUUUUGAAUGUUCUCAUGAUGGUGAUUAUCAUCUUUUUGCUGCCACUUUUUGCAGGACUUCCUUGAGUAUUUCUUAUAAGGCCAGUGUAGUGGUGAUGAAUUCCCUUAGUUUUUGCUUCUCUGGGAAGGAUUUCUUUCUCAUUUGUAAAGGAUAGUUUUGCUGAAUAUAGUAUUCUUUGAUGGCUUUUUUUUUUUUUUUGCAGUUCAUUGAAUAUAUUAUUGCAUUCUCUUAUAGCUUGCAAGGUUUCUCUGAAGAAGUCUAAUGGGAAUCCCCAUAAAUGUAACCUGACAUUUUUCUCUUGCUAUUUUUAGAAUUUUCUCUUUGUCUUUGACUUUGAAAUUUUGAUUGUAAUUUGCCUCUGGGAGGAUCUUUUUGACUUGAAUCUAUUUGGGGGUAUUUGAACUUUCUUAUCUGGAUGAGACUUGGGAAGUUUUCAGCUACUGUUUGAUUAAAUAGCUUUUUUUAUUAUGCCCUUUUUCAUGUCUUCUCCUUCUGUAACUUCCAUAAUAUGCACACUUGUUCACUUUAUGGUGUCUCAUAAGUCUUGUAAGCUUUUUUUUUUUUUUCUCUUUUUUGCUUCCCCCUCCCCACCAACUGGGUGAUUUCAAAUGACCUGUCUUCAAACUCUGAGAUUUUCAUUUUUCUUCUGUUAGAUCAAGUCUUCUAUUUGGGCUCUCUCUCUUUUUUUUGGAAACAGAGUCUCACUGUGUUGCCCAGGCUGGAGUGCAAUGGCUCAGUCUCAGCUCACUGCAACCUCUGCCUCCUAGAUUCAACUAAUUCUUAUGCUUCAGCCUCCCAAGUAGCUGAGAUUCUAGGCAUGCACCACCAUGCCCAGCUACUUUUUGUAUUUUUAGUAGAGAUGAGGUUGGCCAGGCUGGUCUUGAAUUCCCAGCCUCAUGUGAUCCACCCACCUCAGUCUACCAAAGUUCUGGGAUUAUAGGUAUGAGCAACCAUGCCUGCCUGUAUGUUUUUGUUCAUUGAAUUCUUCAACUGCAAGAUUUCUCUUUGAUUCUUUUUCAUGAUAUUUAUUUCUGUUGAGUUUCUAAUUUAUAUCACGAUUUUUUUUUCCUAGUUUUGUUCAAUUAUCUAUACUUUCUUAUAUCUUAGUGAGCUUCCUUAAGAUCAUUAGUUUUUAAUUUCUAUACUGGCAACUUGUAGAUUUCCUUUUCAUUAGGGUCUGUUAUUCAAGAGUUGUGUUCCUUUUGUGAUGUUAUAUUUACUUGAUUUUCAUAUUUCUUGUGUCUGUGUAUUGCUAUCUGUACAUCUUAUGAAACAGUAGCCUUUUCCAAACUUUCUACAGUGGCUUUCAUACACAGAGAAAGACUUUCACCUGUAGUUGGGUCUUACAGUGCCAGGUGGAAGUAGAUGGCAACUGUUUCCAGGUAGGUGCAGUGGUAUAGUCUCUGUUCAGCUUCUUCAUCUGUAUUCAACAUUCGUAAUAAAUGUGAGUGCCUCAGUGGCCUAGGUUGUAGACAUUUGUGGUUGUGGCAGCAGCAGCAUAAGUUGUUAACUACUUGGUAGAAGGGGCUUUUGGAGUCCUUUUCUCAUCUUCCCCACAAUGGAGAAACUUAGACAAGGGGAUACCUCUUGGUGUCAGAUUUGGCAUGGAUGACAAGCAGCUGCGACAGUGGCUGAAUUCCAGGUGCAAGUGCUCAGAGCAUCGGUGGGGCUGGAGUCCUAAGCUCAGGGUCUUAGGAACCUUAUUUGGCACGUGGGUCUUGGGGUACAAUCUUAAUGCUUAAGAUUAGGUUGCCCUUAAUGCUAGGAUCUGUGACUCUGAGGCACCUUCUAGCAGCUCAGGUCCAGAAGGUCAGGUUGUAGCUGUGUGGCUAUUUCUGGGGAGCAGUUCACAGCUCUGGCACUCCAGGGAAAAAUGUAUUCUCAGGAGGUUUGAGCUUGGGGCCAUGAUAUGGCUUUGAUUUAGGAGCCUGAACCUAUAGAACUCAGUGACAACAAAGGUCAUUGGAUGUGAGGCAUCAUGUAGUGGUAACUCUACAACCUGAGAUUGUGGGGCUCAACAGUUUCUCAGUCUGUGAGUCCAAGUGCAAUGACAGCAAGUAGCCCAGAAUGGUCGAUCAAGCAUGGCUAUUGUUUGGGCCAUGAGGGACAGCAAAUGGCACAGCGAUAAUGCUACUCUCCAAGGAGGGGGUUGUCUUAACAGCCCAGACUCUAGGGUUCUGGUCCAGCUCCAGAGAAGCAGAGUACUAGAGUUGUUUGGCCUGUAGAGUAGGUUGUCUGAGCUCACCCACUGCUCUGUUUCCCUGAGACAAACGGUAGUACAUCAGCUUAGCCCUGGGAUGAACAACUUCUCAGCUCAGCCAAGGUGCCAGUUCCCCAGGCGGCAAUGUCCUGCUGUAGCUCUGGCCUAGAGGGGCGUGACUGCCCAGGCAGCCCAGGCACCAGAGAGCAGAGCUCCAGCCAAGCUCUCUUUCCAGCGAGAGGCAGUGCACAGUUCCAGCUCAGGCCUGCAGGGGCAGCGUACAGCUGCAGCUGACAGAGGGAACUGGAGCUGUUUUGUCAAACCAUCCUUUCCUCAGGAAGGAGAAAUGGUACUUAAGCUCCAGCCCAAGGCAAUGAGGGUUGAGGGUGGAAGUUCCACCACUGCUUGGUUCCACAGGGAAAGGUGCUCACAGCUGAGCCACCUGGGGAUGUCAGACCACUGAGCAGAGGUGGUCUGAUAGUGGGCUCACCUCAGGGAUGAAGGGGUGCCAUGACUACUAGCCGCCAGAGUAAGGCACACACCAGCAUUUGUUUCAGUUCCAAGAUGGUGUGGCAUGGUGGCCAGGAGGCCACAGUAGGAGGAACACAGUAUUGGCAACUUCUCUGGGGAAAGAAAGCUGGGCAGCUUCUUUGCAACUUCCUCAGCUGGGCUUAGUGCCUGUUAGUACUGCAGGUAACCCGAGUGGUGAGGCCCAUAAGUGUCUAAGCUGUUGGGGCUUCUGGGAUUUUUUUGCCUACCUUUUCAUCAAAGGCAGAAGUGGCCACCUGGUUCUCAGCCAAUCCUGGCUAGGGGAUGGAGUGGCAGAGGCCUGGCAUUUCCUUCUGUUCUUUAUGUGGCUGUCCCCAGUUUCUCCACUCACCAGAGUUGCUGUUACUUCUUUGACGUGCUCCAGCACUCUCCUUUAGCUAUUUCCAUUAAAAUGUAGUGGUUUAUUCAUUGUUCUUGGCUGUCUUUGUGGAAGGGAUGAGCACUAGGGGCCUCUAGUCAGCCGUCUUGCUGAUGUCACCUCCCCAAAAAACUCUAUUUCUCCUUCUUCUCCUUCUCCUCCACCUCUUCUUCCCCUCCUUCUUCCUCCUCCUUUUUUAUUUUUUUGCAAUGGAGUCUCACUCUGUUGCCCAGGCUGGAGUACAGUGGCACGAUCUCAGCUCACUGCAACCUCCGCCUCCCGGGUUCAAGCAAUUCUCGUGCCUCAACCUCCUGAGUAGCUGGGAUUACAGGCUGCACCACCACACCCAGCUAAUUUUUAUAUUUUUAGUGGAGAUGGUGUUUCAUCGUGUUGGCCAGGCUGGUCUCAAACUCCUGAUCUCAGGUGAUCCGCCUGCCUCAGCCUUUCAAAGUACUGGGAUUAUAGGCAUGAGCCACUGCACCCAGCCAAGAUUCUAUUUCUUCCUGAGUAAAUUUUAGAACAUUAGAUUUUUCUAGGAAUGCAUCUCUUUGAACUACAUCUUGAAAUAAAUUGGCAUAAAGUUGUUAAUAUUCUUUUAUUACCUAUUUUUCCUUAUUGUAAAAUAUAAACAUGUAAAACAGCUUAACGAGUAGUUAUACAACAAACAAUAUUAUAAUUUUCAUUAGUACCAAGAAAAUAACAUUGACAGCAAUAUCAAGGAGGAAUAGAAGGUAACUGGAUCAAUAGAAAUUCCCAUUUUAGGCCAGGCACAGUGGCUCAUGCCUAUAAUCCCAGCACUUUGGGAGGCCAAGGCAGGCGGAUCACCUGAGAUCAAGAGUUCGAGACCAGCCUGACCAACAUGGCGAAACCCCGUCUCUACUAAAAAUACAAGAAUUAGCUGGGUGUGUAUGGUGGCGCACACCUGUAAUCCCAGCUACUCAGGAGGCUGAAGCAUGAGAAUCACUUGAACCCAGGAGGCAGAGGUUGCAAUGAGCUGAAAUCAUGCCACUGCCCUCUAGCCUGGGCAACAGAGCGAGACUCCAUCUCAAAAAAUUUUUUUAAAAAUCCCAUUUUAAAAUCAAAACCUCAUCAUUAGAUCUGAAAUGAAUUUUCAAGAGAUUGUUAUAGGUGGGAAAUCUGAAGGCACCCAAAUGUUAGAUGAAAUGUCUAAAUUUAUAUAGUAAACAACUUAAUAUACAAUCUGGAGUUACUCUUUUCCCCUAUCUUUAUUAGGCUGUUGUAACUCAGAUGUCAGGUGGACCUCUCUGCCUCUUAGAGAUGAGCUAAGACCACCAACAACUCCAUGGUUUGUGAAAGUCUAAAAAUCUUCCCGUCAUCUGUGUUAAUUCUCAAGGUGUGCACUCCUCUUGCCUCAUACCCCUAUAUUUUAGUGUCCCCUUUGUACUCUUGGAGUUUCUUAAAAAGAAUCUACUCAUCAGAAGCAUUAAUGAGCAGGAGUGGAUCUAAGUUAAAUGCAGCUUGAAGUUUACACAGUGAUCAACUUUCCUAGUGAUUUUAUAGGGUAAAUGGAGGAACGCUGUGAAACAAUUUAAAAUCCACACAUUACAUACUAGACAUAGAUAUACUGUUACGGUGUUCACUGGUAGAGUAACAGUAUCUACAAAACUAUACAAUUGUCUUUUCACAUAAGUGUUUUCUCCCAGGAAAUGCCUAUCCAUGUUACUUACAGAGGCAAUCAGUUAAUGAAAGACCUUCUUUUUUAAAAGUUAAGAUGAACACAAUUAUCUCAUGUUUUUCUGUCUACACAGAUAAUCCACAGAAAAGUUUAAAGACAUUAGAGAAAUAACAAGGAUGAGCAGCACUGCCUUCUACCAGCUGGAAACAUUUUUCAGGUGGCUUAUUUAGGAGGAGAAGGGAGAGGAGAAAAAAAUAGUUUUUCAAAGUGGUUUAUUUAAUGUUCAAGUAACAGAGCAUGCUUUGUAUUUGACUGCUGUAGUAGUUCUCACUUGUAAUGAGGGCUAAAUUUAACUGGAAAGUUGACCAAGAGUAAAUUCAACGAAUGAAAAUAAUGAACUUUGCAGUUACUUAAUUUUUGUUACUAAAGUAAUACUUUCUUUUUUUUGAGGCGGAGUUUUGCUCUUGUUACCCAGGCUGGAGUGCAAUGGCGCAAUCUCGGUUCACUGCAACCUCCGCCUCCUGGGUUCAGGCAAUUCUCCUGCCUCAGCCUCCUGAGUAGCUGGGAUUACAGGCAUGCGCCACCAUGCCCAGCUAAUUUUUUGUAUUUUUAGUAGAGACGGGGUUUCACCAUGUUGACCAGGAUGGUCUCGAUCUCUUGACCUAGUGAUCCACCCGCCUCAGCCUCCCAAAGCGCUGGGAUUACAGGCUUGAGCCACCAAGCCCGGCUACUAAAGUGAUACUUAAAAUAUCACUGACAGCCAGAACUUGAAAAAUAUGACAUAAGGUUAUUACUCAGAUUCAGUACUUAUUUUAUCAGUUACCUGAAGAUGCCAGAAAUAUGAACAUAUACUUUACAUAACUCAGAAAAUUGGAAAAUUCUUUAUACUGAACAGAAAUAUGUAACCAUGUAACUGUUAACUGAUCCUAGUAACUCUACCCUAUGAACUAUAAUUUUCAAUUUAUUGAUUUGAUUUUCUGUUAAUUUCAUCAGUGUUUUUACUAGAGGGAAUGCAACGUAUUUUAGGUUUCUUUUACUUACUCUACCCUUACCUAUCAUAAAUCUCAAACUUAGAUCAUAGGACCCCAAUUUCAUGAGCAUUUUAAAGAUAAAUUUGGGCAUUAAGAAGAGGAGUUAGAAAGUGUUUUCUGCUUGGAAUCACAAUGUGGUGAAACAUACUCCACCACAGUUCUACAAUCCAUGUGACUAUUAAUACACAUUGGAUUGUCCAAAAGCCCACCCAAGCCAGUAGCCCAGAAUAUUAGUUCCCCAGGUACCAAAGAAGAAGCAGGGGAGGCCUCAUCUGUGUGAAACCUAUGUAAGAAUACAUAUCUUCUCCCCAGAAGAGGCUACAGAAAAGUCCCAUAUCUUCUGAAACUGCACAUGAUACAAAAGUAGAAUAAGUAGCUGAAAAAUUUAUUGUGUACUAUCUGAGAAAAUAAACAGUAAACAUUUUGAGAGUGAAUUGCUACUCACUUUACUGAAAGUCAUCCAGAUCUAAAGGAGAGAAAUCAAUUUGGUGAUGACCAUGGUCAUGGAAAGAUGAAUGUACUUUCUCAAAGUGACUUGCUGUCUUACUGAGUCACCCUGGGCAUUGAGCUUUAUAGUAGACCACUACUUCUUUAUCUACCUAGAAUCAUCAAUGAUCAUUUGAGGAGGCCAAACUUGCCCCCAAACAAAAAUAUUUUGCCAUCAUCUGCCACGUACUUGGCUCCUCCCAAGACAAAAACUAAUGAGAAGGGAAAUUCUCAAGAAAAGAAAAAGUCACUGCAGUUACCAUUUUGUGAAACUGUCUUAUGACAGCAGAAGAUGUAGACUUUGCAUAGUGACUUGAAUAUUAAUAUUGGACCACACAGAAUUGGAAAACCUACUGUGCUUUGCUUCUAUCUAAUGAGCAUGUUGUAAGUUCUAAGUUGCCUUUUAAGUGUAAAAAAAAAAAGGUAUGACCCCAAAAUGACAAUAAUGACAUCAGAUCAUUUUCAUUGUUUGACAAUAAUGAUCUGAAGGACUCAGAUUAUGUGUGAUAGAUAAGCCAAAUUAUGAUAGAUGCUGUAUUCAGAAUCCACUACCGGCAGAAGGCCACUCUAUUCUCAAACUGAGUCAGUGACUCUGUAGAAACAGGAAGCUGGUUCUUGACUAUGUAUCAGGAAACUGUAAGUUAGUAAAGGCUAUGUUCUAAUACUAGAAUAUCAGUGCUAAGUGAAUGAUUCUCUAAGGUAAUUCAUCCUCACGUACAAUUCAAAUUUUUUACUGGGCAGGAUUUUGAUAUUAGGAAUCCAUUUGUCUGUAAGAAAAUAUAUUAAUAUGUUUCAUAUAUUAGUUCUUCAUAUUAAGAGGAAAAGAACGAUAUAUAUGAAAGGCUGUAGCAUGACAUUAAGAUGUUAAAGAGUUAUAUGAAUCUCAGGUUAUAAGGUUCCAAGGUCAGAUGUGUUUGUGACUUUGCCAGUUGACCUCAAAUGAAAAGUCUGUAUGAAUUCCUUGUGUGACCAUAUAUAUCACAACUUAUGGAUCUGGGCAGGAAGCAGAGAAAAAUUUAAAAUCUAGUAGAUCAUAAGCUUUUCUUAGAAUUAUGCUAUUGUGCUUUAUUUAUUGUUUAGGUAAAAUGCAAUAUAUUCUAUAUAUUUAUACAUCUUUGUAUGUCCUCUGGUAAUCUUUAAAGCAAAAAAGAAAGUUAUAAAGAGGGACAUUUAUACACAGGCCAAUUCAGGAAGAUCUAACAAUUAUAAACAUGUAUACACCUGAUAACAGAACACCAAAAUACAUGAUGCAAAAACUGACAGAAUUGAAGGAAGAGAUAGACAGUUCAACAAUAAUGAUUGGAAAUUUCAGUGCCUCCCUUUCAGUAAUGGACAAAACAACCAGACAAAUCAACUAGGAAGAUUUGAACAAGAUGAUAAAUCAGCUAGACCUAACAUAUUCCUAAAACACACCAUCUAAAAACAGGAUGUAUGUUCUUCUUAAGUACAAAUGGAACAUUCUUUAGGAUAGACUAUAUGAUAGGACAUCAAACAAACAUCAAUAAGUUUAAAAGGAUAAAUAAUAUACAGUAUGUUCUUUAAUCCCAGUGGAAUUAAAUUAGAAAUCAGCAUUAGAAAAAAAAAUUAGGGAAAAUCAACAGAUGUUUGAGAAAUAAACAACACACUCCUAAAUAAUCAGUAGAUCAUGGAAGAAAUCUUGAGGAAAAUUGGAAAACUAUCUGAGAUGAAUGAAAAUAAGACAUGAUAUGCCAAGACUUAAGGAAUGCAGCUAGCACACUUCUUAGAGAGAAAUUCAUAGCUAUAAAUGCCCUAUGUUAAGAAAGAAGAUCUCAAAUCAUUAAUCUUUUCACCUUAAGACACUAGAAAAAGAAGAAACUAUACCUAAAGCACACAGAAAAAAGAAAAUAACAAAAAGUAGGUCAGUGAUAUGGUUUGGAUCUGUGUCUCCACCAAUUCUAUAUCAAAGUGUUAUCACCAGUGUUGUGGGUGCAGUCUUGUGGGAGGUGAUUGGAUCAUGGAGUUGGAUUUCCCCCUUUGGUGCCAUUCUGGUGAUAGAGGUCUCACAAUACCUGGUUGUUUAAAAGCAUGCACCAUCUCCCCCUCACUCUCUGUUCCUCUUGCUCUGGCCAUGUGAAAUGCUGUCUCCCGGUUUGCCUUCUGCCAUGAUUGUAAAUUUCUUGAGGCUUCCCGAGAAGCCAAGCAGAUGCUGCCAUGCUUCCUUUAUGGCCUCUGAAACCAUGAAUCAAUUCAAUCUCUUUUCUUUAUAAAUUACCCAGUGUCCGGCGUUUCUUUAUAGCAAUGUGAGAACAGACUAACAGAAACAGAAAUGAAAGUAAUAGAAAAAAGUAAAGAAAAAGAAAUCAAUAAAACCGAAAGCUAAUUCUUGGAAAAUACCAAGAAAAUUAACAUGGAUUUAAGCAAGAUUAACCAAGAAAAAAAGAGAAAGGACUCAAAUUUCUAGAGUCAAAAAUGAAAAAAAAAAGACAGUAUUGCCAAUCUUAUUUAAAUAAAAAUAUUAUAAGAAGUACAACCAUGAACAAAUGUAUGUCAAGAAAUUAGAUGGCUAUUGUUCUCAUAGAUAGAGGUGAAAUCGAUAAAUUCCUAGAAAGACACAGGAAACUGUCUAAAAAUAAUCAGAAAAAAAUUUUAAUAGACUUAUAAUUAGUAAAAAGAUUGAAUUAGUUAUUAGUAAAAAGAUUGAAUUAGUUGCCAAAAACCUACACACAAUGAAAAAAAUAAUUUUAAUAGACUUAUAUAGAAAAAGAUAAUUUUAAUAGACUUGUAAUUAGUAAAAAGAUUGAAUUAGUUAUCAGAAACCUACUCACAAUGAAAAGUCCAAGUCCGGAUAGUUUCACCACUGAAUUCUACCAAACAUUUAAAAAAUUGCAAUGGUCUCAAAAAAAAAGGAAGAGGGGUGAAUGUUUCUCAGCUCAUUUUAUGAUGGCAGUAUUACCGUGAUACAAAACCAAAGAUAUCACAAGAAAACUACAGACCAAUGUUUUUAUAAACAAGGAUGCAAAAAAUCUCAACAAAUAACACCAAACUGAAUUUGGCAACUUGUAAAAAGAAUUAUUGCCGUGGAGUGGGCAUGGUUGUGUGCACCUGUAGUUGCAGCUCCUCAGGAGACUAAGUGGGGAGAAUCACUUGAGCCCAGGAAUUGGAGGCUGCAGUGAGCUUUAAAUCAACACCACAGCACUUCAGCCUGGGUGAAUAUUUAUCUAAAAAAAAAAAACAACAACAUUCAUCAGCAUGAUCAAGUGGCAUUUAAACCUGAAAUGCAGUGGAAUGCAGGGUUGGUUAAACAUCUCAAGAUCAAUUAAUGUAAAUACUUCAUGUCAAUAGAAUAAAAAGCAGUAUCACACGAUAUUCUCAAGAGAAGUGUUUGAGCCAGGCACAGUGGCUCACACCUGUAAUACCAACACUUUGGGAGGCCAAGGCAGGUGGAUCACCUGAGGUCAGGAGUUUGAGAUCAGCCUGGCCAACAUGGCAAAACCCUGUCUCUACUAAAAUUACAAAAAGCUGGGUGUGGUAGACACACCUGUAAUCUCAGCUACUCAGAAGGUUGAGGAAGGAGAAUCACUUGAACGUGGAGGUGGAGGUUGCAGUGAGCUGAGAUCGCACCAUUGCGCUGCAGCCUGGGCAACAGAGCAAGACUGCAUCUCAAAAAAAAAAAAAAAAGUAUUUGACAGACUCCAAUACCUCUGCACUAAAAAGACACUCAGCAGACUAGGAAUAAAAGAGAAGUAUCUGAACCAGAUAAAAGAGCAUCUCCUAAAACCCUACAAUACCAUGUUUACUGGUGAAAGACAGAAUGCUUUUUUGCUAAGAUAAGACAAAAUAAGGAUGCCUACCCUUGCUUCUUUUAUUUAGCAUUGUACUUAAAGUGCUAGCUGGGACAAUCAGGCAAGAAAAAGAAAUAAGAUUAAGAAAAAGAAGUAAAAUUCUCUUUUUGCAGAUGGCAUGAUUUUAUAUAUAGAAAAUCUUGAGAAAUCCACACACAAAAAAUUAGAACUAAUAAAUGAGUUUAACAAGUUGCAGGAUACAUAUUAAUAUUACAAAAAUCAGUUUUAUUUUUAUACAUUUACCAUGAACAACCUGAAAAUGAAAUUAAUAAUUACAUUCAUAAUUUCAUCAAAAAGAAUAAAAUAGGAAUAAAUUUAACAAAAGAUGUGAAAAACUUUAACUUUGAAAACUAUAUAAUGUUGUUGAAAGAAAUUGAAGUCUAAUUUUUUUUUAAUCUUUUUUUUCCUUUCAAUGUUAUCCAAAUUUUUUUUUUUAAUGGGGUUUCUCUGUUGGUCAGGCUGGUCGCAUACUCCUGACCUCAGGUGAGCCACCCACCUUGGCCUCCCAAAGUGUUGGGAUUAUAGGCGUUAGCCACCUUGCCCAGCUGAAGUCUAGUUUAAUUUGGAACUCUUAAGUUUUCCUGAUCUUCAAUUUGGCAGAGGAUUCUUAGAUAUGAUACCAAAGGCACAAGCAACCAAAAACUUCAAAAUUGAAAAAAGUAGAUAAAUUGGACCUCAGCAAAAUUAAAAAUUUUUGUGAGUCAAGGGACACCAUCCAGAAAGUAAAAAGGUAACUCAAAGAAAGGGAGAACUUAUUUGCACAUUUUAUAUCUGAUAAAAUACAUGUACCCAGAGCACAUCAGGAAUCUUACAACUCUAGCCAGGCAUAGUAGCUCAAACCUGUAAUGUUAGCACUUUGGGAGGCCAAGGCAGGCAGAUCACCUGAGGUCAGGAGUUUAAGACCAGCCUGGCCAACAUGGUGAAACCUGUCUCUACUAAAAAUACAAAAAAUUAGCUGUGCAUGGUGGCGUGUGCCUGUAGUCUCAGCUAAUUGGGAGGCUGAGGCGGGAGAAUCACUUGAACCUGGGAGGUGGAGGCUGCAGUGAGCUGAGAUUGUGCCACUGCACUCCAGCCUGGGCAACAGAGCCAGACUCCAUCUCAAAAAAAAAAGAAAAGACAAAAAAAUAAUCUUCCAACUCAAUAGUAAAAAGUUAAAUGACCCACAUAAGCAAUGGAUACAGGAUAUUAAUAGAUAUCCUUCCUAGGAAGAUCUACAGAUGUACAGUAAACACAUGAGAAAACAUUCAGUAUCAGUCAUUAAUUAUUAACUGUUAAUUAAGUUAGGGACCUGUUAGAAGGUGUUAUAUUAGUUUGGUCAAGUGAGAAUGAAGGACUAGUGUAGGUGGUGAAGGUCUAAGAGAGAAAGGAACAGAUGGAAUUGAUACCCUGAAGCAGGUGGCUGGAAAGGAAAGAAAAGUCCAAAAACAGAGUCUUAGAUUUUGAGCCUAAGUGACUUGGAUGAUAAAACUAUUCAGCAAUGGAGGAAAAACACAGAAGUUGUUUUUAUUAUAAAAUAAACUGAUGAGUUUAUUUUUUGGUUUAGUUUCAGGAACUAGGAGACCUCUAAGAGAUUUAAUGGCAGUUAGAAAGUGAAACCAUGUAGUAUAGCAGAAAGAGUACUUGGCUUGUUUUUCUUCUAUAAAAUGAAAGAUUUGGAUCUAAAAGGUGGUUAUGUUAUGGUGAUUGUGAGCAAUGAUUUUAGAUCCCUGCUUGUCUGGAUUAGCUUCUCACUGUUUAACUUGGAUAUAUUAUUUAUUCUCUCUGGGCCUCAGAUUCUGUAAAUUCAGGUUGACAGUUCUGUGUCUACCUAAUAUUGCUACUGUGAGGAAUUUGUAUACACACACAGAUGAUUUAGAACAAUGCCUAGUGCGUAGUAAGCUUAGUGUUACAUAGCUGAAGUCCUUUUCAGAUCUGAGGAUCCGUUGUUAUGUGGUCAAUUGCUGUGAGACUGGCAUUCCAAGGUGGAGGUCAGGGCCAAAGACAUAGGUUAAUCGUUUCUUUUCUAAAGUGUUGUUGAAUUGAUGGGAUGAGAUACCAGAGUAGAAAGUGGAAAGAACAUGAAUGGCAAAGGCAAACUGUUGAGGAACACUUCUAUUAUAAACAAGAGGCAGAAAUGUAUAGGAGAGGCCAGUGGAAGAACAUUCAGAGAAAGAAGGAAAACUAGGAGGUACUGUCGUGAAUGCCAAGUAGAAUAGAAAAGAUAAGGUCAAGGGAAGAUCGUCUUUUAGAGCAGAGACUACUUGAGCUAAGUUUGAAGGUUUAUGGAAUGUAUCUGAUAGGGAAAAGUUGAAGAUGAAAGCAAAUAAUUGAUGGAGCACAGUUCUUUGAGGAUUCAAGGGGCAGAUUUAGCCUUAAGAGGAAGAAAUACCAUUUACUUAUUUGAAUUAGAAUAAAAGAAGGGAUGGAUAUAUGGUGGAGCAAUCAAAUUUUUGAGCUGGGAAAUUCAGAAGUCAAGGAAGCUCAUGUUGGAUAACCAGUUUGCUUACAUUCAAUAGGAAGCAAGGUCAUCUGCAGAGAUAGUGGAAGGUAGGCAACAAAAGUGAAAAGUGUUUCCAAGCAGCUUUUUUAAAUGUUCUCCCUAAUUCUGCUCUUUGUAUUAAUGGGAAACAAAUUAUCUAUUUCAAUUAUAGCAGGUAAUAUUUACUGAGACUUUACUGUCUGCCAGGUAUCAUGCUAAGGGUUUGUUUCAAACUGAAAACAUCCCUAAGAAGCAAAUGGUAUUAGUAGUAGUAUCCACACAUUACAGAGGGUAAUAAAGGAAACAGAGAAAGGAUGGCAAAUUAUUAUCUGUUACCCCGCUAAGAGGUGGAACCAAGACUGAAUAGCACAUCUGACUAAGUCUCAGCUCUUAACGAUUAUGCUUUCUGAUGUUUUACUUUCAAAUCUCAUGAAAGCCAUGAAGUGUUGGUUUGAAAAUAUACAUGGAUUAAUGGGAUAUAAAAAUAUAGAAAAAUAGCCCAGGUAUACAGCAGAAUGUAACUUUAAUGAAAUUUAUAUUUUAAAUAAAUGGAAAGGAUGUCUGGUUAGAUAAGUGCAUUAGGGCAAUUAACUAUUAAUUUGACAAAAAUUAUUAAAUUUGACUCCUUAUGUUUUAAAAUCUACAACAGAAAUCAGAAUAGUGGUUGUCUAUGGCAGGACAGACAUUGGAUUAAAGAAACAAAGGAACUUUCUGGAGUAAUAGGAAUGUUCUGUAAUUUUUUUUUUAUUUUUUAUCUUUUGAGAUAGAGUCUGGCUCAGUUGCCAAGGCUGGAGUUUAGUGGCACAAUCUUGGCUCACUGCAACCUCCAUCUCCUGGGUUCAAGCAAUUCUGCUGCCUCAGCCUCCCAAAUAGCUGGGAUUACAGGCGUGCACCACCAUGCCUGGUUAAUUUUUGUAUUUUUAGUAGAAACAGGGUUUUGCUGUGUUGACCAGGCUAGUCCUGAACUCCUGACCUCAAGUGAUCUGCCUGCCUCAGCCUCCCAAAGUGCUGGGAUUACAGGCAUGAGCCACCAUGCCUGGCCAAUGUUCUGUAAUUUGAUUGUGUUAUAUAGGCAGGGAUUUUUGGUCAAAACUCAUCAAAUUGUACAUUUAAAAUCUGCACAUUACACUCUGUAAAUUUUAUCUCAGUUUUAAAAAGGAAAGCCAAGUGCAGUGGCUCACACCUGUAGUCCCAGCUACUCAGGAGGCUGAGGUGAGAGGAUCGUUUGAGCCUAGGCAUUACAGGCCAUUCUGGGCCAUAUAGCGAGACUGCAACAUAGCAACAUCUCUUUAAAAACAAACAGGCCGGGCGCGGUGGCUCAUGCCUAUAAUCCCAGUACUUUGGGAGGCCAAGGCAGGAGGAUCACGAGGUCAAGAGAUCACGUGGUGGUGCAUGCCUCUAGUCCCAGCAACAUGGGAGGCUAAGACAGGAGAAUCUCUUGAACCCAGGAGGCGGAGGUUGCAGUGAGCCAAGGUCGUGCCACUGUACUCCUGCUUGGCAACAGAGAGAGACUCCGUCUCAGAAACCAACCAACCAAAAAAUCAGUUAACAAAGAAAAACAAGAUAAAACAAAAAUAAGACAAAUCUAUAUGUAGAUCUCCAAGACAUUGUUAAACGAAGAAAGAGCUGGCUAUAGAAUGAGACAUGCAAUAUACCAUUUAGAUAAAGAAAAAAGAAUUACCACCAGACCACAUUCUUUCUGUGGAUCUACAUUCAUACGUAUAAAGGUAUCGUGGUUCUUGAGUGCAGCUGCCCCAUUCCACUAAUAAAUUCUUCAUCUAAUGUCAAUUUCAGAUGGUCUUAGGGUUUCCUUCCAGGUUGCAGAAGGGAAAGGACUUUUAUCUUAUAUCACUGUUAGUAUAAAUGUCAUUUUCUCUGCUGAUUGUAAUACUCAGUGGUAAAAUAUCCUCCAGUGAAGAAAGAUAUUCAAUUUCUGGAAAUUUUAGGCUUAAAAAAUGACCUGUUUGCAUAGUAAAAGUAGUGUCUUUUUUUUUUUUUUUUGAGACAGGGUCUUACUCUGACAUCCAGGCUGGAGUGCAGUGGUAUGAUCUUGGCUAAGUGCAACCUCCUCCUCCCAGCUUCAAGUGAUUCUCCUGCCACAGCCUCCUGAGUAGCUGGGAUCACAGAUGCCCACCACCAUGCCCGGCAACUUUUUGUAUUUUUAGUAAAAAGGGGGUUUCACCCUGUUGAACAGGCUGGUCUUAAGCUCUUGACCUCAGGUGAUCCACCCAUCUUGGCCUCCCAAAGUGCUAGGAUUACAGGCGCGAGCCACUGCUCCUGGCCUUGAAAGUAGUAUCGUUUAAGAGGCAGCCUCAUAUAACAGAACUGCCAUUGAGCUAGAAGCAGUCCAGGGAUGUGAGUUCUCAUCCCGAUGCUGCUGCUGAGCAGAUGGGUGUUUUGUAGCAAUCCAUUUAAUCUCUCUGGGCCUCAGUUUCCUUGUUAAUUACAUUAAUGGAAUGGACAGAUCGCUGAGCAUCUUUCAGGCCUAAGAUCCAGUGAACGCUGUUCAUUCACAUGGAGCUUACAUGGAAGUUUCACUCAGCCUACAGUAGAUACAUGGAAAGUAAGAUUUUUGCUUUUAUGUUUUG